CCCCAGCCAGUUUGGUGUGCAGGUGAGAAGGGCUUGGGCUGCUCCACUCACCUGGUUUGUUCUGGGUUCAUAAUGUAUUUUGGGGCAAUGCAGGCAGGGAGGAUGAAGGCAUGGUUUUCCCUCAGCACUAAGUGUGUUUCUGUCAUGGUUGAGCCUUGCCAGGGCUUCUGCUGCCCUCUUCCAACACCGAUGGCUUCUUUUCCAACCGCAAGUGUUGGAAAGAGGGGCAGUGGGUCACCCUGUGUGCCAGUGGGGCAGUCCCUGCAUGCCCAGGGAUGCUGGGGCCAGGCUCUGGGAGCAGCAGCAUCCCCCUGAUGAACUCCAUCUGUAUUCCAUAGGAACACCAUCAUACAGCCCCCCAGAAUGGACCCAUUUUGGCUGGUACUAUGGCAAGCCAGCUACCAUCUGGUCCCUGGGCAUUGUGCUGCACCAGAUGGUCUGCGGGGAGCACCCUUUCAGGAGGGACCAGAACAUCAGCUGGGACCAUCAGCUCUCGCUGCCACAACGGCUCUCGCCAGAGUGCCAAGAUCUGAUCAGGCGGUGUUUAUCCAUGCUGGACUUGGAAAGGCCCUCAUUAGAAGAGGUGUUCUGUCAUCCUUGGAUGCAGGAUAUACAUCUGCCGUAGAAGAAGGGAGAGAGCCACAGGCACACUGUGCUGCAGGGCCCCGCUGGGGCCCUGGGCAGAGCUCUGACAGCCUGGUCUGAGCCCAGGAAAGGAGAAGGAGCCCCCAGAGAAGCUGUACCGGGUGGGGCUGCUGCUGCUGGGGACAGUGAGGAUCACAUCAAGGAUAACAGCCUCUUCCUGGACCUGGCCACUGGCAAGCUGAAGAUGAUGGACUUCAAUUCUGGCACCUUCUUCAGAGCCUGGCUCCACAGCGAAUUUACAGAUGAGUCCACACACAGGGGGAUGCUCCCAGAUUUGGGCAUUGCACAGCCUGGCCGCGAACCAAAGGUUCCCCUCUUUGCUGGGGUGGAUGCAGCUGAUUGUUCAGUCGGCUGCCCAGCUGCUUUUGGCAGGGCUGGGGGAAUGGGCUGGGGUGGGUACAAAAUGGGAGUGGACUCCCGGCCCUGCCAACAGCCGCCAGCACCCACCGUGCCCUGGGCUGGGGCUGGGGCAGCUAGCCCAACACAAACAAACCCCCGUGAUGGGAGCAGAGGUGGGACUCCAGAACCUGUGCAGGGGCUGCUUUGCUGUGCAGGCAAGGAAGGGCUUGGGCUGCUCCACUGCCCUUGUUUGCUUUGGGAUCACGGUUAUUGUGGGGGGCAGUGCAGGGGAAAGGGAGAAAGCCUGGGCUUCCUCACCCAUGGCUGGUUUUUUCCCUGGCAUGCAGGGGUUGGUGCUUCCUCAAGCCCCUGACAGACAUAAGAUCUUUUACCUCUUUUCUUGUUUCCCCUUUUUGUCUGUAAUCUAUUUUCAAUAAUUUAUUGUUUGUUUUUCUAGAGGAAGUGUUCCAGAUGGGGUCCAGUCUGGAUCGGGAAAUGCUUGGGACCAGCUGUGGCAUGGAUGGGCCGUGGCCUUGGAGCAGGCUGAGGACAUCGUUUGGGACCAGCUUUUCUUCCAGCUGUGGAUUGCAUGAGCCGGGCUCUGCGGAUGCUGAGGCUGCUUUGGGCUCUGCCAGGGCUCUGCUGGAGCUCAGCACCGGGCCGGAAUCAACCAAAGAAGAAAUGGUGUCACCUGCAGCACAGACUUGCUUGAGCAUUUCGGCAACACAGCUCAAGUUUGCAGAGUGUACACCUUCAAGGGAAAACAUGACACGUGCCAAAAAUUAAAAUUGUUCAAUACCUUCUGAAAUCAAA